UUUACUUUCCCCAAAUCAUAGAUCCCCAAAUGAAGGAACCAAUUCCCGUCGGCACCCUUCCGCCUUUCUCACGCCGGCGACUACACUCCAUCACCGGUCAGAUUUCUCCCCAAACAAUUCGACGCAGCCUCCGUUCGGUCGAUUAAAGCCAUUUUGAAUUCCUCCCAAAUUUCAAUUCCGCCUGACCGCUACUGCCGUCGGUCAACAGCAGCCGGCACCGACUCUCCUUUGCGCACACACUCGCUGGACUCGCUUGCAGACAGCGGCCUCCGUCGCUUCGGAGUCGCUCCCUCCGUUCCAGUUGCACUCUCCUCGGUCUGGAAUCGCCGACGUCGCGCACACCAGCCGCCGCGUCGCAAGGCUGUCAUGUCGUCAGUCCAUCCGUCAGAUAUCAGGUGCCGCCGAGCGGUUGGAGGCACUCGAGAAUCCACCGAGCAGUCACUGCCGUCGGGGUCUCACUUCGGUCUCCAGCCAUAUCGGCUGCAUUGUCACAGUCAAUUUCGUCGGACUGCCGUGGACUUCUCGGCUUAGGUUGACUUGGAAAAAUUUGCAAGGAAUCUUCCCCUUCACCUUAUUGCAGUGAUUAUGGUUUGGGAAAGGGAAAAAUCCACGUUCAAGUAUUUUCCAUGUGGAAUCCUUCUCUUACAUUCUAUGUGUGAUCUUGCCUCUCGGGUGCCCAAAAUUGAACAGAUAUGUACUUACUACUUCGUAUCCAGGAAUCUCACACCAUUCCCAAUGACAUGGUUCUUCUUCAUGCGGCUCUCGUAGCUUGCAGUCUACAAUUGUUGACAGUCAUUGUUUCUCCACAUUACCAAGAGGUUGCUCAAGUAUUGACUGUGUAUUACAAGGUGUACAUAUUCAAAGAGGCAGCAUUUGCUGCUGUUUGUGUAGUGUCAAGUAUCUGCAGACCAACGAUUCAUCUAGAAGUGCAUCCCCUACUACUGAAGAGACCUUGAAUCAUCUCCGGCAGCAGUGUGAUUCUUCUCUUCAAUUUCUACAGCCCCUGAGUCAGCAAAAGUUGUUCCGGGAAUGCAUUGUUAACAACCAGGUUAUUUAUAAGUCAAUUUGAGUCCCGAAUCGUUCGUUCUGCAUCGGAAGAUCAUUUAGUCCAUGUAAAACCUCUCUGGCUUAACCUAGCUUAACCUAUGGAUAUCAGUCAUCCUUUUCCAUAAAAUGUUAAGUGCAUCUGUUUUUAUCAUAAUCAUAUCCGUUGUCUUCUUGAUAAGUUUUUAAUGAAGUUUGUUUCUUCUUGCAGGAGCUUGGGAAGGGGUGGACUGCAGAGCAACUAGCUUCCUGUGUUGGACUCGGCUCUGAUGAAAAAAGGAGUAGCUCUACUUCUCAUCUUUGUAGUCGUCAAAAUCCUGGUCUUUGAGGAUUCUGUGUGUCAUUUCAUACUAAAGCCAUCAAUGAAGAACUAUUGCCAAAUCUUUAUGAUGCUCUACACUUGUUGGUACCUGAUAAAAUUGGGGUUGGACUUGCUUUGUCUAAUUCUGAAGAACACGAUAUCAUCAUGAUACCAGGAUGUGUGGUUAGUUAUUCUCUUCUUUGUACAUACAUUUAGACAUAAUUUUUUGUUUAGUUGUAGGAAGUGGAAUACAUACAACAUUAUAUUAUUUUUAUCUCCUUGGAAUUCUUCUACUUGUUGCACUAAACCUGUAACCCUUUUCUUGGCUGUGAAUUCAGGAAAGACUUUCUGUUUGAGUCAGAUUGCAGAGCUGCUGUGUACCAAUCCCGUUGCGUUUGAGGCUAUUGAGAUAAUUCAGCAUAUUCUCGUGUUACUCUUAGUCAAUUUGAAGGCCUCUCUAAGCAUUUAGAUUCGUUCUUGCAAAUGUUAUCUCUCGUGGAACUAAGGUGUUUUCUGUGAUAGUUCCUAGUGCAUAAAUAGACUUGAAAGUACUUAGUCGAUCUGAAGGUCGAGGGUGGUAGUGGGCGACUGAGUUCUUAACUUAAAAGAUGAGGGGGACACGGUGGAAAACUGAAGGCAAAAGUCUAUUUAUUUAUUUUUGAGCUUGCUUUGUGAUCUUCUGUUUCUUGGUUGUUGCGCCUCUAUUUUUCCUACUUAUUUAAUUCAUUAUUUGCUGCAUUUUGCAGCUUUAUAAUUGAUCUGUUACAUAUAUUAUAUUUUUGUUUGUUAUACUGUGCCUGACGUUUUUCUACUUUUUCUAAUCCACUUUUUGCUACCUUGCAGCAUAAUUUUCUACUUUUUCUAAUCCACUUUUUGCUACCUUGCACCAUAAUUAAUUCAUACAUACAUAGAUAGCAUCCUAUUUUUCUUUGUCUCAUAUGCCCUAUACAAAUAUGUGCUAUAUAAGUGUUUCUUUGAUAUGUAAACCCCAUUGAUUGUCAAGUCUUGGAUUCUUAAUAUAUCUGUUAAAUGUUUUUAUAGGCUCUUUCCCAGUUACUUACUACACACAUUUCCUUUUUACUUUGGCAUUCAAUUUGCAGGACUUGCAUCUAAAAAAGAAAUCGUGGGCCUUGGAAACUGGUUGAGCACUCAAUUAGUGUCAAGUAAAGAUACUUUAUAUGAGGAAUGAAAAUUGCAGCUUGUUGCCACUAUGUAGUAAAUACUUUAACUACAAUAGAUGGAAUCUAGACUACUUCGAUCUCUGUAUAUUUGAGUUUGUUUUCUUUACCUGUCCAUUUGAUGAUUAUGAUUGAUACAACAGAAUUGGGGAAGCUUGCAAAUUCAAGAGUUUGUUCCUUCCUAGGUUAUUAGUUAAUGUUAUUAUUUUGAAUUUUAGUCUAACCUUGGAUUUAUGACAUUCCCAUGUUUUCCUCCGAGAGUAAGGUAUUAGAGCAGUUUCUGGACCGUCUCAUUGAGUAGUACUGCUCCAGUUUAGUUUUGACCACCUCACUAUUUAUUCCAGCGAGUUGAAGGGUAUAAAGCUGCAAUUAAUAUUUGCUUCAAUAUUCAAACUUUUAUUUAUUAAACCUAACUUUAGUUCGAUAUUAAGUGUGUCAUUUCAUACUAAAGCCAUCAAUGAAGAACUUCUGCAUAAUCAGUCUGAUGCUCUACACUUGUCUGUACCUGAUAAAAUUGAAGUUGGUCUAGCUUUGUCUAAUUCUGAAGAACACGAUACCAGGAUGUGUGGAAAGCAAUUCUUUUUGGGUCAGAUUUCAGAGCUGUGUGCCAAUCCUGUUGCACUUCCUGUUGCACUUGAGGCUACUGAGAUAAUUCAGCAUAUUCUUUUUGAAGUGAUCUGUUUGGUCAAGUUCCUCAACAAUUUAUUUUGACCUAACAUCUCUUAUAUGCCAGUUGGGUAGUUUUAUACUUAGUCUACUGUGUUUGAGUUUUUUAUCUUUACCUAUCCGUUUGAUGUUUAUGAUUGAUAAAUCAAAUUAUUGGUUUACUGUGUGAACAUGAUCCCAGAUAAAUAAUGUCAUAAAAUACUCUUCAACCUAACUAUGUUAAUUGUAAUGUUACCCUGUUGUAAAAUUUUCAGCUUGCCUAUAAUGUUUAUCCUUUGUAAAUGCUUCUACUUUAGAUCAGUCAUAAAGCAUCAACGCGUGACUCACCUUACGUUGGGUAUUGCUUUACGAGCUGUUUUAGAUGCUUUGUGGAAGCCUGCAGAUUCGGAAGUUUGUUCCUUCCUAGGUUAUCAGUGAAUGUUAUUAUUGUGAAUUACAGUCUGACUUGGAUUUAUGACAUUAUGAUGUUUUCAUUUGGGAGUAAGGCAUUGGAGCAGUUUGUGGACCGUCUUAUUGAGUGGCCACAGUACUGCCAUCAUAUCCUACACUUUGCAGCAUUUAUAGAGAGGGAUCUUAACCGUAUUUCAGCGGCUUAUACUUAACCUGAUGUUGGCUGCCAUAGUGCCAAUGCUGAUCAUCGACGCGGUCAUUUUGGUUUCAGAUUGCAGGCCCAUCAUUUUCUCUGAUCGGACCUGGCAGCAUCUCGUGUGGAUUAGCAAUUCCCCUCUUCGAUCUCACUACAACAGAGACCACCAAGUUCUCUAGAUGAGAGUUGACUCCUAAUUACAUGAAGCCAUCACAACACACCUACCCUUCCU